UCUCCGUUGGUGAACCAGCGGAGGGAUCAUUACCGAGUUUACAACUCCCAAACCCAAUGUGAACCAUACCAAACUGUUGCCUCGGCGGGGUCACGCCCCGGGUGCGUCGCAGCCCCGGAACCAGGCGCCCGCCGGAGGGACCAACCAAACUCUUUCUGUAGUCCCCUCGCGGACGUUAUUUUUACAGCUCUGAGCAAAAAUUCAAAAUGAAUCAAAACUUUCAACAACGGAUCUCUUGGUUCUGGCAUCGAUGAAACGCAGC
rnacentral:misc_RNA from 1 species